GAUGAACGCUGGCGGCGUGCCUAAUACAUGCCAGUCGAGCGAACAGACGAGGAGCUUGCUCCUCUGACGUUAGCGGCGGACGGGUGAGUAACACGUGGAUAACCUACCUAUAAGACUGGGAUAACUUCGGGAAACCGGAGCUAGUACCGGAUAAUAUAUUGAACCGCAUGGUUCAAUAGUGAAAGACGGUUUUGCUGUCACUUAUAGAUGGAUCCGCGCCGCAUUAGCUAGUUGGUAAGGUAACGGCUUACCAAGGCAACGAUGCGUAGCCGACCUGAGAGGGUGAUCGGCCACACUGGAACUGAGACACGGUCCAGACUCCUACGGGAGGCAGCAGUAGGGAAUCUUCCGCAAUGGGCGAAAGCCUGACGGAGCAACGCCGCGUGAGUGAUGAAGGUCUUCGGAUCGUAAAACUCUGUUAUUAGGGAAGAACAAAUGUGUAAGUAACUAUGCACGUCUUGACGGUACCUAAUCAGAAAGCCACGGCUAACUACGUG
rnacentral:rRNA from 1 species